rnacentral:rRNA from 1 species
UUCGCCCUUUUCCGGUUGAUCCCGCCGGACCUGACUGCUAUCGGAUUGAUACUAAGCCAUGCGAGUCAUUGUAGCAAUACAAGGCAGACGGCUCAGUAACGCGUAGUCAACCUAACCUAUGGACGGGAAUAACCUCGGGAAACUGAGAAUAAUGCCCGAUAGAACACUAUACCUGGAAUGGUUUGUGUUCCAAAUGAUUUAUCGCCGUAGGAUGGGACUGCGGCCUAUCAGUUUGUUGGUGAGGUAAUGGCCCACCAAGACUAUUACAGGUACGGGCUCUGAGAGGAGUAGCCCGGAGAUGGGUACUGAGACACGGACCCAGGCCCUAUGGGGCGCAGCAGGCGAGAAAACUUUGCAAUGUGCGAAAGCACGACAAGGUUAAUCCGAGUGAUUUGUGCUAAACGAAUCUUUUGUUAGUCCUAGAACCACUAACGAAUAAGGGGUGGGCAAGUUCUGGUGUCAGCCGCCGCGGUAAAACCAGCACCUCAAGUGGUCAGGAUGAUUAUUGGGCCUAAAGCAUCCGUAGCCGGCUCUGUAAGUUUUCGGUUAAAUCUGUACGCUUAACGUACAGGCUGCCGGGAAUACUGCAGAGCUAGGGAGUGGGAGAGGUAGACGGUACUCGGUAGGAAGGGGUAAAAUCCUUUGAUCUAUUGAUGACCACCUGUGGCGAAGGCGGGCUACCAGAACACGUCCGACGGU